AAUAGAUACCCUGGUAGUCCAUGCCGUAAACGAUGUCUACUAGCCGUUGGGGCCUUUGAGGCUUUAGUGGCGCAGCUAACGCGAUAAGUAGACCGCCUGGGGAGUACGGUCGCAAGACUAAAACUCAAAUGAAUUGACGGGGGCCCGCACAAGCGGUGGAGCAUGUGGUUUAAUUCGAUGCAACGCGAAGAACCUUACCUGGUCUUGACAUACAGAGAACUUUCCAGAGAUGGAUUGGUGCCUUCGGGAACUCUGAUACAGGUGCUGCAUGGCUGUCGUCAGCUCGUGUCGUGAGAUGUUGGGUUAAGUCCCGCAACGAGCGCAACCCUUUUCCUUACUUGCCAUCGGGUCAUGCCGGGAACUUUAAGGAUACUGCCAGUGACAAACUGGAGGAAGGCGGGGGCGACGUCAAGUCAUCAUGGCCCUUACGACCAGGGCUACACACGUGCUACAAUGGUCGGUACAAAGGGUUGCUACCUAGCGAUAGGAUGCUAAUCCCAAAAAGCCGAUCGUAGUCCGGAUUGGAGU
rnacentral:rRNA from 1 species